rnacentral:rRNA from 1 species
CAGGCUUAACACAUGCAAGUCGAGGGGCAUCAGGAAGAAAGCUUGCUUUCUUUGCUGGCGACCGGCGCACGGGUGAGUAACACGUAUCCAACCUGCCCUUUACUCGGGGAUAGCCUUUCGAAAGAAAGAUUAAUACCCGAUAGUAUAAUGAUUCCGCAUGGUUUCAUUAUUAAAGGAUUCCGGUAAAGGAUGGGGAUGCGUUCCAUUAGGUUGUUGGUGAGGUAACGGCCCACCAAGCCUUCGAUGGAUAGGGGUUCUGAGAGGAAGGUCCCCCACAUUGGAACUGAGACACGGUCCAAACUCCUACGGGAGGCAGCAGUGAGGAAUAUUGGUCAAUGGGCGCUAGCCUGAACCAGCCAAGUAGCGUGAAGGAUGAAGGCUCUAUGGGUCGUAAACUUCUUUUAUAUAAGAAUAAAGUGCAGUAUGUAUACUGUUUUGUAUGUAUUAUAUGAAUAAGGAUCGGCUAACUCCGUGCCAGCAGCCGCGGUAAUACGGAGGAUCCGAGCGUUAUCCGGAUUUAUUGGGUUUAAAGGGAGCGUAGGUGGACUGGUAAGUCAGUUGUGAAAGUUUGCGGCUCAACCGUAAAAUUGCAGUUGAUACUGUCAGUCUUGAGUACAGUAGAGGUGGGCGGAAUUCGUGGUGUAGCGGUGAAAUGCUUAGAUAUCACGAAGAACUCCGAUUGCGAAGGCAGCUCACUGGACUGCAACUGACACUGAUGCUCGAAAGUGUGGGUAUCAAACAGGAUUAGAUACCCUGGUAGUCCACACAGUAAACGAUGAAUACUCGCUGUUUGCGAUAUACAGUAAGCGGCCAAGCGAAAGCAUUAAGUAUUCCACCUGGGGAGUACGCCGGCAACGGUGAAACUCAAAGGAAUUGACGGGGGCCCGCACAAGCGGAGGAACAUGUGGUUUAAUUCGAUGAUACGCGAGGAACCUUACCCGGGCUUAAAUUGCAGUGGAAUGAUGUGGAAACAUGUCAGUGAGCAAUCACCGCUGUGAAGGUGCUGCAUGGUUGUCGUCAGCUCGUGCCGUGAGGUGUCGGCUUAAGUGCCAUAACGAGCGCAACCCUUAUCUUUAGUUACUAACAGGUCAUGCUGAGGACUCUGGAGAGACUGCCGUCGUAAGAUGUGAGGAAGGUGGGGAUGACGUCAAAUCAGCACGGCCCUUACGUCCGGGGCUACACACGUGUUACAAUGGGGGGUACAGAAGGCAGCUAGCGGGUGACCGUAUGCUAAUCCCAAAAUCCUCUCUCAGUUCGGAUCGAAGUCUGCAACCCGACUUCGUGAAGCUGGAUUCGCUAGUAAUCGCGCAUCAGCCACGGCGCGGUGAAUACGUUCCCGGGCCUUGUACACACCGCCCGUCAAGCCAUGGGAGCCGGGGGUACCUGAAGUACGUAACCGCAAGGAUCGUCCUAGGGUAAAACUGGUGACUGGGGCUAAG